rnacentral:lncRNA from 1 species
GUUUCCUCUCUGGCCAUUGCCAUCCGCCCAAAUCUACAGACAUCCCGCAUGUUCCCGGGCUCGUCUCCCCAAUACAGGGCACCAAGGCUGUAGACUGCGCAGCCCUCCUGGAGACAGAUGGAAGCUCCUUGGGUCGACAGAUUACAGCUUCUGGAACCCCCUACUCCCUUCAACUCCGAGAUGGACACCCACUGUCCAGGGAGAGGAUGCCUGGAAAUAACAGCUGGGAUCUACAGUGGCCAAAGAGUUGUCUCCGUCUUGCUACAUCGACAAACUGGUGCUCCUGAGUGAGGAUUGUGCCCUGGGAUGGGGGAUUCAGUUUCUUCAUUUAUAGUUGGAACCACUUCGGAAGCGUUUUCCUCUCCACUCUGACAACAGGCAAGAGUGAGGGUCCAACAAUACAGAGGAAGUAACGUGUCGCUGCUACUCUUCCAUGCCCAGUGCCAGGAGCGACGGUACACUCCAGAGUGCUGUGCCCUGAUGGGCCUUUGAGUGGCCAGUGCAGUGGAUCAUCAGCCCUGUCUCCCAAGAGCUCCAGUCCCUUCUCCGGAGAGGAAGUGGGUCCACUGGCAGCUCAGGAGGCCAUAGCAGGAUUGUCACGUGUGCUCAACAGUCCUCCUCGGCUUUCCAGAAGAGGCUGGAACAGGGCCCUUGAAGAUGUUUGUGGACAUCAGAGGGCCAAAGACGACACAAAGUGAAACUGGAGACACCGCCCCCCCUUGGCAUCAUGAAACUGCCGAUGUUACUGGCUCAUGCAUGGGAGACACCAGCAUACAAAGUCUUGACACCAACACCUCAGAGGGCUGUGUUCUGUCCCCGUGACCAUCAUCUAGUGCCUGGAAAGACUAGUGACAAGAACUUGUUGCCAACUUCCUAUUACCUCCCUAACAGUUGUGCAAUAAACCCCAUAGGUUAAU